AUCCAGCUGACGAGUCCCAAAUUGGAAGAAACGCGCUUUUGGGAU
rnacentral:hammerhead_ribozyme from 1 species